rnacentral:rRNA from 1 species
UACGUAGGGUGCGAGCGUUGUCCGGAAUUAUUGGGCGUAAAGGGCUCGUAGGCGGUUUGUCGCGUCGGGAGUGAAAACCCAGGGCUUAACCCUGGGCUGGCUUUCGAUACGGGCAGACUAGAGGUAUGCAGGGGAGAACGGAAUUCCUGGUGUAGCGGUGAAAUGCGCAGAUAUCAGGAGGAACACCGGUGGCGAAGGCGGUUCUCUGGGCGUUACCUGACGCUGAGGAGCGAAAGUGUGGGGAGCGAACAGG